rnacentral:rRNA from 1 species
UACGUAGGGUGCAAGCGUUGUCCGGAAUUAUUGGGCGUAAAGAGCUUGUAGGCGGUUUGUCGCGUCUGCUGUGAAAUCCAGGGCUUAACCCUGGACCUGCAGUGGGUACGGGCAGACUAGAGUGCGGUAGGGGAGAUCGGAAUUCCUGGUGUAGCGGUGAAAUGCGCAGAGAUGCGGAGGAACACCGAUGGCGAAGGCAGCCCCCUGGGCUAACACUGACGCUCAGGCACGAAAGCGUGGGGAGCAAACAGG